AAAGUCGUAACAAGGUUUCCGUAGGUGAACCUGCGGAAGGAUCAUUACCGAGUGAGGGCCCUCUGGGUCCAACCUCCCACCCGUGUUUAUUUACCUUGUUGCUUCGGCGGGCCCGCCUUAACUGGCCGCCGGGGGGCUUUGCCCCCGGGCCCGCGCCCGCCGAAGACACCCUCGAACUCUGUCUGAAGAUUGAAGUCUGAGUGAAAAUAUAAAUUAUUAAAAACUUUCAACAACGGAUCUCUUGGUUCCG
rnacentral:misc_RNA from 1 species